UACGUAGGGCGCAAGCGUUGUCCGGAAUUAUUGGGCGUAAAGAGCUCGUAGGCGGUUUGUCGCGUCUGCUGGGAAAACUCGAGGCUCAACCUCGGGCUUGCAGUGGGUACGGGCAGACUAGAGUGCGGUAGGGGUGACUGGAAUUCCUGGUGUAGCGGUGGAAUGCGCAGAUAUCAGGAGGAACACCGAUGGCGAAGGCAGGUCACUGGGCCGCAACUGACGCUGAGGAGCGAAAGCAUGGGGAGCGAACAGG
rnacentral:rRNA from 1 species